rnacentral:tRNA from 1 species
AAUAAUUUAUACUAUUUUGGCAGAUUAGUGCAAUAAAUUUAGAAUUUAUUUAUGUAAUUUUUAUUACAAAUAGUA